rnacentral:rRNA from 1 species
UUAUAUCUCUAUUUCAUUUGAUGGUGGCUCUUACUUGGAUAACUGUGGCGUUCUAGAGCUAAUACAUGCAUCAUAAUCCCACUUCUUGGAAGGGUAGGGAUGAUUUUAUACAAAACCAAACCAGGGCCUGCCUGGGUGCGAUCUGAGUCACUUCACCAUCACGAAUCAUGUGGCAUCGGCCCAUGACGCAUCCAUCAAGUUUCUGACCUAUCCCCUUCCGACGGUAACGUAUUGGCUUACCGUGGCUAUGACGGGUAACGGAGAAUUAGGGUUUGAUUCCGGAGAGGGAGCCUGAGAAAUGGCUACCACAUACCAGGAAGGGGAAGGCGCGUAAAUUACCCAAUCCUGAUCCUGGAGGUAGAGACAAGAAAUAACAAUACAGGGCAUCCAUGUCUUGUAAUUGGAAUGAAUAGAAUCCAAACCCCUUUGUGAGUAUCAAUUGGAGGGCAAGUCUGGUGCCAGCAGCCGCGGUAAUUCCAGCUCCAAUAGCUCCUAUUAAAGUUGUUGCGUUUAAAAAGCUCGAAAU